GGGCCUGCGUUUCAUUAGCUAGUUGGUAGGGUAAUGGCCUACCAAGGCAACGAUGAGUAGCUGGUCUGAGAGGAUGAUCAGCCACACUGGAACUGAAACACGGUCCAGACUCCUACGGGAGGCAGCAGUGGGGAAUAUUGCGCAAUGGGCGAAAGCCUGACGCAGCAACGCCGUGUGAGGGAUGAAGGCUUUCGGGUCGUAAACCUCUGUCGGAAGGGAAGAACGGGCAUUGGUCUAAUAGGCCUUUGUUUUGACGGUACCUUUAGAGGAAGCACCGGCUAACUCCGUGCCAGCAGCCGCGGUAAUACGGAGGGUGCAAGCGUUAUUCGGAAUUACUGGGCGUAAAGCGCACGUAGGCGGCUUCGUAAGUCAGGGGUGAAAUCCCACGGCUCAACCGUGGAACUGCCUUUGAAACUGCAGAGCUUGAAUCCUGGAGAGGGUGGCGGAAUUCCUGGUGUAGGAGUGAAAUCCGUAGAUAUCAGGAGGAACACCGGUGGCGAAGGCGGCCACCUGGACAGGUAUUGACGCUGAGGUGCGAAAGUGUGGGGAGCAAACAGGAUUAGAUACCCUGGUAGUCCACACCGUAAACGAUGAAUGCUAGAUGCCGGAG
rnacentral:rRNA from 1 species